CAUAACAAUAGCGAGAGCACAACCAGUGCUAAACAAUCGAGAGCAAGCAUCACAGGUAAGAUACAUACAAGUGAAUAAAAGAGAGAGAUGCUAAGCUAUUACAUUCAUUCAACCUUUUUAAUACAACUUAAUUACACUUAACUUCCAAAACAUGAACAUAAUGUUUACAUUUUCCAAAAUAGCCUCACACCUAUACAUCAUCUACUCUCGAAUAUAUAU
rnacentral:lncRNA from 1 species